rnacentral:rRNA from 1 species
GACGAACGCUGGCGGCGUGCUUAACACAUGCAAGUCGAGCGGAGAGACCAUGCUUUUGUGGGGUGCACGAUAGCCGAGCAGGUGAGUAAAACGUGAGUAACCUGCCCUUGACUUUGGGGUAACUUCAGGAAAAUGGGGCGAAUACCGGAGAGGAGCUCCUGCAGCAUGGUGGGGGUUGGAAAGUUUCGGCGGUUGGGGCUGGACUAGCGGCUUAUCAGCUUGUUGGUGAAGUAGUGGAUUACACAGGCUAUGACGGGUAGCCGGCCUUGGCGGGUUAACGGCGACAUUGGGACUGAGAUACGCACCAGACGCCAACGGGAGGCAGUAGGGGGGAGUAUUGCAGAAUGGGCGGAAGCCAGAGGUAGCAACGUCGCGUGCGGAAUGACGUCCUUCGGGUGGUAAACCGCUUUCGCCGGUGACGAAGCGUGCGUGACGGUAAUGGGUAAAGAAGCCACGGCUAACUACGUG